rnacentral:rRNA from 6 species
AGAGUUUGAUCAUGGCUCAGAUUGAACGCUGGCGGCAGGCCUAACACAUGCAAGUCGAACGGUAACAGGAAUCAGCUUGCUGAUUCGCUGACGAGUGGCGGACGGGUGAGUAAUGUCUGGGAAACUGCCUGAUGGAGGGGGAUAACUACUGGAAACGGUAGCUAAUACCGCAUAAUGUCGCAAGACCAAAGAGGGGGACCUUCGGGCCUCUUGCCAUCGGAUGUGCCCAGAUGGGAUUAGCUUGUUGGUGGGGUAACGGCUCACCAAGGCGACGAUCCCUAGCUGGUCUGAGAGGAUGACCAGCCACACUGGAACUGAGACACGGUCCAGACUCCUACGGGAGGCAGCAGUGGGGAAUAUUGCACAAUGGGCGCAAGCCUGAUGCAGCCAUGCCGCGUGUAUGAAGAAGGCCUUCGGGUUGUAAAGUACUUUCAGCGGGGAGGAAGGGAGUAAAGUUAAUACCUUUGCUCAUUGACGUUAUCCGCAGAAGAAGCACCGGCUAACUCCGUGCCAGCAGCCGCGGUAAUACGGAGGGUGCAAGCGUUAAUCGGAAUUACUGGGCGUAAAGCGCACGCAGGCGGUUUGUUAAGUCAGAUGUGAAAUCCCCGGGCUCAACCUGGGAACUGCAUCUGAUACUGGCAAGCUUGAGUCUCGUAGAGGGGGGUAGAAUUCCAGGUGUAGCGGUGAAAUGCGUAGAGAUCUGGAGGAAUACCGGUGGCGAAGGCGGCCCCCUGGACGAAGACUGACGCUCAGGUGCGAAAGCGUGGGGAGCAAACAGGAUUAGAUACCCUGGUAGUCCACGCCGUAAACGAUGUCGACUUGGAGGUUGUGCCCUUGAGGCGUGGCUUCCGGAGCUAACGCGUUAAGUCGACCGCCUGGGGAGUACGGCCGCAAGGUUAAAACUCAAAUGAAUUGACGGGGGCCCGCACAAGCGGUGGAGCAUGUGGUUUAAUUCGAUGCAACGCGAAGAACCUUACCUGGUCUUGACAUCCACGGAAGUUUUCAGAGAUGAGAAUGUGCCUUCGGGAACCGUGAGACAGGUGCUGCAUGGCUGUCGUCAGCUCGUGUUGUGAAAUGUUGGGUUAAGUCCCGCAACGAGCGCAACCCUUAUCCUUUGUUGCCAGCGGUCCGGCCGGGAACUCAAAGGAGACUGCCAGUGAUAAACUGGAGGAAGGUGGGGAUGACGUCAAGUCAUCAUGGCCCUUACGACCAGGGCUACACACGUGCUACAAUGGCGCAUACAAAGAGAAGCGACCUCGCGAGAGCAAGCGGACCUCAUAAAGUGCGUCGUAGUCCGGAUUGGAGUCUGCAACUCGACUCCAUGAAGUCGGAAUCGCUAGUAAUCGUGGAUCAGAAUGCCACGGUGAAUACGUUCCCGGGCCUUGUACACACCGCCCGUCACACCAUGGGAGUGGGUUGCAAAAGAAGUAGGUAGCUUAACCUUCGGGAGGGCGCUUACCACUUUGUGAUUCAUGACUGGGGUGAAGUCGUAACAAGGUAACCGUAGGGGAACCUGCGGUUG